CAACAGAGCAGUUUGCUUCUUUGUACUGCGACUGAGAGACAAGAUCCAAGUUCUCUUACCUGGUGAGUACAAAUGAACACACCUACGAACUGGGAGAGACAGGAAGCUAGGAAAGUUAUAUGCUGAUUGGUCUCCUUCACAGCACAGAGUCCAGUAAGGAAAUAAAGAAACUCCUGUACCAGGUGGAGAAAGAAGAGGAGCUGAGUACAAAGGACGGCAGAAGAAAAAUAACCCUGUGGACUAGGGAGAAAGGAAGCCCUGCUAGGAGUGAUCUGACUGGAAGCAGCCUUGGUGCCUGAAGAGGAAAAUCCAAGCCACAUCCUGUUCUGCUAAUUAAUGUGGUACACACUCCAUUGCAAUAUCAGUGUGUCAGGCUGCUUAUUGGGGGUGUUGUGUUACCCCAAAUGUGUGGGGCUAGGAGAACCUCCCCCACCAGCAGCAAUCUAUCUAGGGUUGCCAUAAUUCUCUACUAUAAACCAGGACAAAAUGUAGGAC